AGAAACACUGCGUAUAGUCUGGCGCCCACAUUUUCCCAAGCUGAACCUCAACAGUGCAGUCGGCCGUGCUCCUCAAGCUCCCCAAGUGGAGCGAGACAGCAGAGUCGAGGCAGCCAGUCAACACGGCGGUGAGGAGUAAGCUGUCACCACGGCGUAGAUCUUUCCCCCCCGGCACAUCACGCUUCCUGUAACAUCAUCCUUCCAGGUUUUGAUCACGGUCAGGGAAACGAGAGGGGGUCGAGAAUAAGCAACGGGAGCUGGAGGGACUUGAACAAUGCAAAGGAUUGUGGUCCUUCAUUUUUUUCCCCCCAGCUUCGGCAAAGACUUUUGCAACCCAAUACGGGUUCAGACAAUAAUCGCAUCCCCCUGGCCGACCAAUCCGGUGCUAUUUGCGGCCUUGUUUGGACCUCCUCUCUGCUAUCUCGCUUUCUCUCCUAACAAGGUCACCUGGCGCACCUGAAUAUGUGGAACACCCUGCCACCGUGACAGAACUGGCGAGUCUUAGUUUUAAAACUGGUGAUUAGCACAUUGUUUGCUGCUAAAGGGUUUAAGGGACUAAAACAAAACUAAGAGCUACUCUAUGACAUUAAUGAUAAAUUGUUAGCCUAAUAUCAUAAUUGCGUCUAAUUGUAAGAUAUCUAUUACGUUACUCGUACCACCGGCACAUCUCUCUUCCUCAUUUCCUCUGUCGUCAAAAUGCUUGUUAGAGUCCAAAAUCACUGAUUGCCGAGGUCAUCUCUUUCACUUUUCCGCUACAUGCAAAGAUGGCCUUUGGCAUGAGAAAGGGGGCUCUUCAGACCACAACUGAAACAUUAGCUCUACCAGGAAACUGUGUCUUUCAACUUUUAAUCACGUUUCCGUGACAAGCUAUGAGGAAGUACAUGUAGUGAACGUCACACUUCUGGUUAAAUUUGGUGUGUCAAUAUCAUUAAAAAAAAAAAAAAGGAAGAAAAAAAAACUAUCACUGUGUUUUAUAAAUGUGUUAAGCAAUUGUGCAAUGACAAAAAAAUAGCUGCCUUUUUUUUUUUAAUCAAAGAGCAGUUGGUCAGUUUACCUUUAUGAAUUAUAAAUGGUUUUAACAGUAUGAUUUUGUAGCGGUAGCAAGAUAUCAUCGUGAUUGUAUGACAAUAAUCAUACAUUUAUGACAAUUGAAAUAGCAUCUCUUAAUAAUAAAGCUAAUGGAUAUGUCUCUAUUUUUUCAAAGUUGGAAAAUUAUGGGAUUGUAAUUUCUGAUUUUCUACAGACGGACAAAAUGUUCCAUCAUUGUUUUGUUUGUACAUUGAGGUAAGAUACAAGAUGGGCAGGUUUGUAUGUGCUGUGAAUGUAUGUGUAUGUAAUGAUUUGGAUUUGGGCCACAACUUCCAGUUGCAACUUUUAAACGAAUCAUAAAUCUGUUAUAUUAUCAGAUUAGUUACCAUUUACAAUGACAAAAUCCAGGAGGCUUGCAUCUCUUAAUAAUAAAGCUAAAUGUCUAUUGUCAGUGACUGAAUUUAAAUGUGUGUAUCGCUUUGUGGACAACAACUACUUUCUAGUUGUUUUUAGAUUAAUAUCUAUUACAAUGUUUACACAGCAUCUCGCAAAAAAAUAAAUGAAUGUUUCAUCCUUUACGAUGUGCAUUUUCACUGUUCCAACUCCAAUCAUGUAAAUGUAUGUGGAAUGUUAUUAUUAUUGUGUCUUGAAAAUGUUAUUUCAUACAAAAUAAAUGACUUGAAAUCCAA